ACUCUCAUCGAGCCCGUGACAACCGCCGCGACGUCCCGAUAAGCACUCAUUACCCCGAAUGCCGAUCGAAACCCCGCAAGGCUUAGCAUCAACUUCCGCAUCUCCUCGGUGAGCGACAGUUAUUAAAUCUCGCAUUUCAAGAAAACAUAAGUUGUUUCCAACUCAAAACAAUAAAAUAUUAUUUUCUAGCUCACAAGGGCAUUU
rnacentral:lncRNA from 1 species